rnacentral:rRNA from 1 species
CAAUAGCGUAUAUUAGAGUUGUUGCAGUUAAAAAGCUCGUAGUUGGAUUUGUGGUGUACUUCGGCGGCCCGUCACUAUGUGAUGGAGCUUGCUGAAGUCGCCAUCCUUGGGUGGAUCCUGUGUGGCAUUAAGUUGUCGUGCAGGGGAUGCCCAUCGUUUACUGUGAAAAAAUUAGAGUGUUCAAAGCAGGCUUAUGCCGUUGAAUAUAUUAGCAUGGAAUAAUAAGAUAGGACCUUGGUACUAUUUUGUUGGUUUGCGCACCAAGGUAAUGAUUAAUAGGGACAGUUGGGGGUAUUCGUAUUUCAUUGUCAGAGGUGAAAUUCUUGGAUUUUUGAAAGACGAACUACUGCGAAAGCAUUUACCAAGGAUGUUUNCAUUAA